rnacentral:rRNA from 2 species
CGUGAGACAGUUCGGUCCCUAUCCGUCGUGGGCGUAGGAAAUUUGAGAGGAGCUGUCCUUAGUACGAGAGGACCGGGAUGGACAUACCUCUGGUGUACCAGUUGUCGUGCCAACGGCAUAGCUGGGUAGCUAUGUGUGGACGGGAUAAGUGCUGAAAGCAUCUAAGCAUGAAGCCCCCCUCAAGAUGAGAUUUCCCAACUUCGGUUAUAAGAUCCCUCAAAGAUGAUGAGGUUAAUAGGUUCGAGGUGGAAGCAUGGUGACAUGUGGAGCUGACGAAUACUAAUCGAUCGAAGACUUAAUCAAAA